rnacentral:rRNA from 1 species
GACGAACGCUGGCGGCGUGCCUAAUACAUGCAAGUCGAGCGCAGGAAGUCAUCCGAACCCUUCGGGGGGACGGUGACGGAAUGAGCGGCGGACGGGUGAGUAACACGUAAAGAACCUGCCCUCAGGUCUGGGAUAACCACGAGAAAUCGGGGCUAAUACCGGAUGGGUCAUCGGACCGCAUGGUCCGAGGAUGAAAGGCGCUUCGGCGUCGCCUGGGGAUGGCUUUGCGGUGCAUUAGCUAGUUGGUGGGGUAACGGCCCACCAAGGCGACGAUGCAUAGCCGACCUGAGAGGGUGAUCGGCCACACUGGGACUGAGACACGGCCCAGACUCCUACGGGAGGCAGCAGUAGGGAAUCUUCCACAAUGGACGAAAAGUCUGAUGGAGCAAACGCCGCGUGAAACGAUGAAGGGCCCUCGGGUUCGUAAAAUUU